rnacentral:lncRNA from 1 species
UGUCAUGUUAAAUAGUACUACCUUCAUCCUCACCUAGCUCACCACCUUCUUCACAUGCUUUGGAAGUUCAUGUGUCCUACUGCAGAAUGAUUUCCCAGUUCAUGAAAAUACUUUAGAAUAGUUUUUAUGAUUGCAUGGAUCGAUGCAUCUAGGAUUAAGAGAUAUCAGCAAAUAGUAGAUAACAAUCCUAGGAUUAUGCCCGCAUGGAAAUAUGACCCAUGUCCCAGUAAUCUGCAUCAGCAUUGGCAGUAUAAUCCUGACG